rnacentral:lncRNA from 1 species
UUUUCCUUUUCUGGAGGGAAAAUUCCGGCUCUGAGAGCCCCAACCCGCCCAGGGCAGCACAACCCUGCUCAUUUUCCUGCUCUAAGGCCCAGGGAGCCUUUGGGGGGGAUUUGUUGGGUUAAGACAAAGCAAAAAGGCGGCAAAAAGCGAAUUUCACACUGGGAUCGCUCCCACAAGGCACAGGCGGCACCCCUGGGGGGAUCCUGCAUUUCCCUGCUCCAAAACUGCUCAGGGGCACCCCAAAAACCCCAAAAAACCCCAAAACCAGACCUGGGGGAUGGGACAGCCCCAGAGAUGCCAGGGAGGGGGGAGGUGGAUCUGGAACUGCAUCCCAAAAAUCCCUCCUGGCUGCUGAAAUCCCAUGGGAGCAGCUGAAGGAUGGGAUUUGGUUUGGGAAGGAUGGAAUUGAUCCCUGGAUUCAAAUGGGAAAUGGAGCCUGGAAUUUGAAUUUCCACAUCCAGGAUCCCAAAAAUCCCUCCUGAUUAUCCAAGAGGUUAAAGCAUGGAAUUUGGUUUGGGAAGAGCAAAUCCCAAAUGGGAAAUGGAGUCUGGAACUCAAAUUUGCACAUCCAGGAUCCCAAAAAUCCCUCCUGAUCUCCCAAAACAGCAGUUAAAGGAUGGAAUUUAGUUUGGGAAGAGCCGUUCCCAAAUGGGAAAUGGACCCUGGAAUUUCAAUUUCCACCUCCAGGAUCCCAAAAAUCCCUCCUGACCAUCCAAGUAAGAGGUUAAAAGAUGGAAUUUGGUUUGGAAGAGCCGUUCCCAAACGAGAAAUGGAGUCUGUUAGUCAAAUUUGCACAUCCAGGAUCCCAAAAAUCCCUCCUGAUUUCCUAAAAGAGCAGUUAAAGAAUGGAAUUUGGUUUGGGAAGAGCAAUUCCCAUGGGAAAUGGGCCCUGGAAUUUGGAUUUGCUCACCCAGGAUCCCCAAUCCCCUCCUGGUCUCCCAGAGGAGCAUCCAAAGGAUGGGAUUUCCUUGGCAGAGCCGUUCCCAGCUGGAAUCAGGGCGGUUUCCGCCCUUCCCACUCAGCUCUGCCACGGGAAAACCAAACCCAGGGAUGAGGAGGAGGAGGAGCUUCUCCAGGGGGGUUUGCCCAUCCCAGGUGGGAUUUUGGUCCCUCCAAAUGGGAUUUUCCCAUUCCAAAUGGGAUUUUCCCAUUCCAAAUGGGAUUUUCCCCCUUCAGGUUGGGUUUUCCCAUUCCAGGUUGGGAUUUUUCCCAUUCCAGGUAGGAUUUUCCCAUUCCAGGUGGGAUUUUUCUCCCAUUCCAGGUGGGGAUUUUCCCAUUCCAGGUGGGAUUUUUGUCCCUCUGGGUUGGGUUCUCCCAUUCCAGGUAAGGUUUUUUCCCAUUCCAGGUCAGGUUUUUUCCCAUUCCAGGUCAGGUUUUUUCCCAUUCCAGGUGGGACUUUUCCCAUUCCAGGUUGGAUUUUCCCCCUCCAAGGGGAUUUACCCCCUGGGUUCUCCCAUUUCAGAUCAGGUUUUUUCCCAUUCCAGGUGGGAUUUUCCCCACUCCAGGUCAGGUUUUUCCCAUUCCAGUUGGGAUUUUUGUCCCUCCAGAUUGGGUUCUCCCAUUCCAGGUCAGGUUUUUUCCCAUUCCAGUUUGGAUUUUCCCCCUCCAGGUUGGGAUUCUUCCCAUUCCAAAUGGGAUUUUUCCCCUUCAGGUUGGGUUCUCCCAUUCCAGGUCAGGUUUUUCCCCAUUCCAGAUCAGUUUUUUCCCAUUCCAGGUUGGGUUUUCCCAUUACAGGCCAGGUUUUUCCCAUUCCAGGUGGGAUUUUCCCCCUUCAGGUUGGAUUUUCCCCCUCCAAGGGGAUUUACCCCCUGAGUUCUCCCAUUCCAGAUCAGUUUUUUCCCAUUCCAGUUGGGAUUUUGGUCCCUCCAGGUUGGGUUUUCCCAUUCCAGAUCAGGUUUUUUCCCAUUCCAGGUGGGAUUUUCCCCCUCCAGGCCAGGGAUGAGCAGCAGGCAGGCCCGGGAGGUGUCUCUGAGCUGCACCUUUGGGGUUUUGCCGGGAUUGGGGCAGGUUUGGAGCUGCCAGGGGCUCUGCAAACGGCGGCUCCAGGGCUGGGAGCAGCUCCAGGGANACAGGGGGACACUGAGUGACCAAGAGUCCCCAGAAGCCCCGGGGGCACUCAGUGACAGGGACACACACACUCAGUGACCAGGAAUGCCCAGAAUCAGUGACAGGGGGACACUGAGUGACCAGGGAUCCCUUGGGGACAUUGAGUGACCAGGGAUCCUGGGGGAGCACCACAGGAAUCCCUGGGAAACACCAUGGGAAUCCCCAGGGACACCCAGAGACCAGGGAUCCCUGGGGACACUCAGUGACAGGGACACACUCAGUGACCAGGAAUCCCCAGAACCCCUGAAGCACUCAGUGAUGGGGACACACUCAGUGACCAGCAAUCCCCAGGGACACCCAGUGACAGGGGGACACACACUCAGUGACCAGGGAUCCCUGGGGACAUUGAGUGACCAAGAAUCCUGGGGGAGCACCACAGGAAUUCCUGGGAAACACCAUGGGAACCCCCAGGGACACCCAGAGACCAGGGAUCCCUGGGGACACUCAGUGACAGGGACACAAUGACCAGGAAUCCCUGGGACACCCAGUGACAGGGACACACAAACUCCAUGACCAGGAAUCCCUGGGGACAUUCAGUGACCGGGACACACUCAAUGACCAGGAACUCCAGGGACACCUCGUGACAGGGACACACUCAGUGACCAGGAAUCCCUGGGGUCACUCAGUGACAGGGACACACUCAAUGGACCAGGAAUCCCUGGGGACACCCAGUGACAGGGGGACACACACUCAAUGACCAGGAAUCCCUGGGGUCCCUCAGUGACCAGGAAUCCUUGGGGACACCCAGUGAUAGGGGGACACACUCAGUGACCAGGAACUCCAGGGACACCCAGUGACAGGGACACACACAAUGACCAGGAAUCCUUAGGGACACCCAGUGACAGGGACACACACAAUGACCAGGAAUCCCUGAGGUCACUCAGUGACAGGGACACAAUGACCAGGAACUCCAGGGACACCCAGUGUCAGGGACACCCACACUCCAUGACCAGCAAUCCCCAGAACCCCAGGAAUC